UACAGAGGGUGCAAGCGUUAAUCGGAAUUACUGGGCGUAAAGCGUGCGUAGUCGGUUAUCUAAGUCGGGUGUGAAAUCCCCGGGCUCAACCUUGGAACUGCAUUUGUGACUGCAUAGCUAGAGUACGGUAGAGGGGAUGGAAUUCCGCGUGUAGGCAGUGAAAUGCGUAGAUAUGCGGAGGAACACCGAUGGCGAAGGGCAGCUCGCUGGGACGGUACUGAC
rnacentral:rRNA from 1 species